UACACACCGCCCGUCACGCCAUGGAAGUUGGUUUUACCUGAAGUAAGUGAGCUAACCGCAAGGAGGCAGCAUACCACGGUAAGAUUAAUGACUGGGGCG
rnacentral:rRNA from 1 species